GAUGAACGCUGGCGGCGUGCCUAAUACAUGCAAGUCGAGCGAACGGACGAGAAGCUUGCUUCUCUGAUGUUAGCGGCGGACGGGUGAGUAACACGUGGAUAACCUACCUAUAAGACUUGGAUAACUUCGGGAAACCGGAGCUAAUACCGGAUAAUAUUUUGAACCGCAUGGUUCAAAAGUGAAAGACGGUCUUGCUGUCACUUAUAGAUGGACCCGCGCUGCAUUAGCUAGUUUGUAAGGUAACGGCUUACCAAGGCAACGAUGCAUAGCCGACCUGAGAGGGUGAUCGGCCACACUGGAACUGAGACACGGUCCAGACUCCUACGGGAGGCAGCAGUAGGGAAUCUUCCGCAAUGGGCGAAAGCCUGACGGAGCAACGCCGCGUGAGUGAUGAAGGUCUUCGGAUCGUAAAACUCUGUUAUUAGGGAAGAACAUAUGUGUAAGUAACUGUGCACAUCUUGACGGUACCUAAUCAGAAAGCCACGGCUAACUACGU
rnacentral:rRNA from 1 species